UGGGGAAUAUUGCACAAUGGGGGAAACCCUGAUGCAGCGACGCCGCGUGAGUGAAGAAGUAUUUCGGUACGUAAAGCUCUAUCAGCAGGGAAGAAAGGAACUAAAGUUCCCAUGACGGUACCUGACUAAGAAGCCCCGGCUAACUACGUGCCAGCAGCCGCGGUAAUACGUAGGGGGCAAGCGUUAUCCGGAUUUACUGGGUGUAAAGGGAGUGUAGACGGCAGCGCAAGUCUGGAGUGAAAUGCCGGGGCCCAACCCCGGAACUGCUUUGGAAACUGUGCAGCUUGAGUGCGGGAGAGGUAAGUGGAAUUCCUAGUGUAGCGGUGAAAUGCGUAGAUAUUAGGAGGAACACCAGUGGCGAAGGCGGCUUACUGGACCGUAACUGACGUUGAGGCUCGAAAGCGUGGGGAGCAAACA
rnacentral:rRNA from 1 species